GUUUUCAUAGUUAAAUAAUAACGGUGGUUUUUCAAGCCAUUAUUUUUGGUUAAAAUCCGAGUGAAAAUU
rnacentral:tRNA from 1 species